GAACCAACUGUGUGUGAAGGGACUGAAGUGAAAAUUCAAGAGUGUUCUGUGGUCCUUCAGAGAGCAAGAUACAACAGAACUCAAGUCUAGCAUCAGAACUUGCUAUUAAGAUAAGCAUCUGGCAUUUUGUUUUGCCAACAGCUACUCAGAUGGGAAAUUCAUUAAAACAAACAAGCCACUGUGUGACAUUGCAUUUGACUGUACUCAUCUGGUGUCUUAACACUAGGCCAGAACAACUCGAAUUUACCAGGAAAGCUUACAAACUGAGCACAAAAUGUGGAACACCA
rnacentral:lncRNA from 1 species